AUUGAACGCUGGCGGCGUGCUUAACACAUGCAAGUCGAACGAUGAAGCUGGAGCUUGCUCCGGUGGAUUAGUGGCGAACGGGUGAGUAACACGUGAGCAAUCUGCCCUUGACUCUGGGAUAACUGCGGGAAACUGUAGCUAAUACCGGAUACUUUCACUGGAAGGCAUCUUCUGGUGAAGAAAGAAUUUCGGUCAAGGAUGAGCUCGCGGCCUAUCAGCUUGUUGGUGAGGUAACGGCUCACCAAGGCGACGACGGGUAGCCGGCCUGAGAGGGUGACCGGCCACACUGGGACUGAGACACGGCCCAGACUCCUACGGGAGGCAGCAGUGGGGAAUAUUGCACAAUGGGCGCAAGCCUGAUGCAGCAACGCCGCGUGAGGGAUGAAGGCCUUCGGGUUGUAAACCUCUUUUAGCAGGGAAGAAGCGAAAGUGACGGUACCUGCAGAAAAAGCACCGGCUAACUACGUGCCAGCCGCCGCCGUAAGAC
rnacentral:rRNA from 1 species